UACAGAGGUCCCAAGCGUUGUUCGGAUUCACUGGGCGUAAAGGGUGCGUAGGCGGCGGGGUAAGUUUGAUGUGAAAUCUCCGGGCUUAACCCGGAAACUGCAUUGAAUACUAUUCUGCUCGAGGUUUGGAGGGGGGACUGGAAUUCUCGGUGUAGCAGUGAAAUGCGUAGAUAUCGAGAGGAACACCAGUGGCGAAGGCGAGUCCCUGGACAACAACUGACACUGAGGCACGAAAGCUAGGGGAGCAAACAGG
rnacentral:rRNA from 1 species